rnacentral:rRNA from 1 species
CGCUAUCACUCCUACGGGGAGGCAGCAUAGGGAAUCUUCCACAAUGGGCGCAAGCCUGAUGGAGCAACACCGCGUGAGUGAAGAAGGGUUUCGGCUCGUAAAGCUCUGUUGUUUAAAGAAGAACACGUAUGAGAGUAACUGUUCAUACGUUGACGGUAUUUAACCAGAAAGUCACGGCUAACUACGUGCCAGCAGCCGCGGUAAUACGUAGGUGGCAAGCGUUAUCCGGAUUUAUUGGGCGUAAGAGAGUGCAGGCGGUUUUCUAAGUCUGAUGUGAAAGCCUUCGGCUUAACCGGAGAAGUGCAUCGGAAACUGGAUAACUUGAGUGCAGAAGAGGGUAGUGGAACUCCAUGUGUAGCGGUGGAAUGCGUAGAUAUAUGGAAGAACACCAGUGGCGAAGGCGGCUACCUGGUCUGCAACUGACGCUGAGACUCGAAAGCAUGGGUAGCGAACAGGAUUAGAUACCCUGGUAG